rnacentral:rRNA from 1 species
AGCGAACGCUGGCGGCAGGCCUAACACAUGCAAGUCGAGCGCCGUAGCAAUACGGAGCGGCAGACGGGAGAGUAACACGUGGGAACGUGCCCUUUGGUUCGGAAUAACUCAGGGAAACUUGAGCUAAUACCGGAUAAGCCCUUACGGGGAAAGAUUUAUUGCCAUUGGAGCGGCCCGCGUCGGAUUAGCUAGUUGGUGAGGUAAUGGCUCACCAAGGCGACGAUCCGUAGCUGGUCUGAAAGGAUGACCAGCCUCACUGGGACUGAGACACGGCCCAGACUCCUACGGGAGGCAGCAGUGGGGAAUAUUGGACAAUGGGCGCAAGCCUGAUCCAGCCAUGCCGCGUGGAUGAUGAAGGCCCUAGGGUUGUAAAGUCCUUUUAACGGGGAAGAUAAUGACGGUACCCGUAGAAUAAGCCCCGGCUAACUUCGUGCCAGCAGCCGCCGUAAAAC